UUUUGUCAAUUAUUCCUCUUUCUCAAUUAUUUAAUCUAAAUCUAAAUUAUCAACAUAAGCAGAAGAACUUUGAGACCAACAGGAUUGAGUAUAGCUACCAUAAAAUGAGAACAUUAAAAGUAGGAUAAAAACAGAUACUUGAGAUUCCUCAGAACUAAAGAAAGAGAUGAAAGAACUUAAUUGGAAACAAGGACUUUUGCCAGCAAAUCACUUUAUUUCCCAGUCAAUUGGAGUGUGAUGGGAAGUCAGUAACAAAGGGCAAUAGCUAGACUUGGGACUACUGCAAUAGAAGAGUUGAAAGUUGCUUGGAAACUACUUUUAAAAUAUCUUGUAGCUAUAAUAGUUAUAUUCCCACAUAAAAAUUCAAAACUAAGAGGCUUAAAGUUACAACAAUUUGUAUGCUCAAAAAUCUGUGAUUUGGUGCAUAUUUUUCUGAGCAUUUGGAUAGUCUUUACCAGAAUCUUCUUGAAACUGUAAGCACAUGACAAAGCCCAGGAAUUAGGUGGCCCAACAGCCUCCGGUUUUGACUAUGUUAGCUAAGGCUGUCAAGCAAAGAACUCUGGCGAAACUGUACACCAUUCCUUCAAUGAAAUAACCUAGACUUCAAAAUAUGGUCAUAAUAACAUAUCAAAGAGCAGCUCAAUAUUAUGUCUCAAAAUGUAGGUUGAUUUCUGAGCUGUGAGCUAACCAUAUGAACCAUUAGUAUCCCAUUGACCAAAGACAGUCGUAGAACUAAACCCAGAAUUACUUUAAGAGAGACUACUCUAGGACAUGUUUAUCAUGAGAUGUCUAUAAUUUCUACCACUUAAAUAAUUCUCUACUCCAACGGCCAAAAUAUGAGCAGAAAACAGUUUGUUUGAGAUCUCUUGUAUCCCCCAAAGCUAGAUAGAACUUUUGAUCUAUUGAUCAAAACAAUGGACAAUGUUGCUAAAAAGAUUUCAUUCUCAUAUUUUAUUAUCAAAUAACAAGGCUAAAGGAAAUCUACUACCUGCACAUUCUCAGAAUGAUAAAGAGAAAUUUCCAGUGGUCCCUUUCAAUACUAGACUUAGUGCUAACUCACUUAGCAAGGGGAAGAUUCCUGAGGUCUUCAAUAUACAAUCUAUAGUUGUUACCCCCAAGUUACUUUAGGGUUUGUGCUCAAACAAAAUAAUGAUUUCUCUUUGUCUUCUUUGAUUUACAAGGUUAAGAUUUCUCCCAAUAAUUAUAUGAUGAGAUAACAAAAUAUACAAAAUAAACAAAAGUUUAUAAACUUUAAGCAAAGACUUGCUUGGCAAAUAUUAAACAUAGGGUUAUAGAUACACAUUGGAAGAAUCACUCUUCAAAUGCCACACAUGGUAAGACAAUGAGUAUGUUAGUGGCAUGUGCUCUUGUGAGAAGAAAAACACUGUUAGUGUUACUAUGGAGAUAAACAUUACAGAAGAGAAUUUCAUCACUAGUGGCAUGAGUACAAGGACAAGUUCCUCUUUGCAUCUCCACAAAAAUAGGAGUCUGAAAAGGUUCCCAAUGGAUCUGUAUGCUCUGGAUCAAAGUUAGAGUAACAGCAUGAAAUUCUGUUUCCAGGGUGAUCCAGAGGCAGUGCCUGAAUGAAAUGCCAGGUGUUCUCCCAUGGGAAAGGAGGAUGCACUUUGCAUUCUGUUUUGGAAUGACUGAUGAACAUGAAUAACCAGUGACAAAGGAGGGAGUGCAUCAUAGAUGUGAUUCAUUUCCCAACAAAGAUUUAUCCUCCUUUCCGUUACAUAGCAUCAUUGCCAAGAAGGAAAAAGCAAGGUCAACACUGUACUUCCCACCUGGCUACAGAUACAUGGCAACAUGACUGACUGCUUGGCUAGGAUGACACCAAUGCAGUUCUAUAUAUGACAUCUAAGCUUCUAUUCCUGCCACUGUGCCAGCUGCCUGAUGAUUGCUGCCAAGCUGCCCCAGCAUGAUGGACUCUUAUCCCUUUGGAACAAUAAGCUCAAGUAAAUCUUUUCUUCUUUCUGGUGGACCUUAAGGAUUUCUACUAAGACAAUAAUAGAUUUCCUGGAAGAGAAGACUUUAAAUUAGAAGGUGGGGAAAAGGAAGAAAAGAAAUGAAUAUAGAAGAAAGGUAAUUUUAAAGAAAAUUGAGACUGAAAAUUCCCUUGUGUCAUAGACCUAAGACUACAAACAAAAGAAGAAACAUAUUCACAGUUUUCCCUGUGUAUCUCAAAGCUUCCAGGCAAUCUAUGAGUUUUUGGUCAACCCUAACUUACAUGAAGGAUGAAAUGGAAAGAACAUAGAACUUGGAGUUCAUUGGACCCAUUUGAUAUGUGCUGUGUGACUUUUCCUGGGGUGUCCAUUUCUAUUCACCACUGAUGAAGAGGACAAUAAACCAAAGAUAUGAUGGACCCCAUGACCAGCUUGAAGCCAGAAAUGGAGACAAGAUUUCAAGUGAAAUCUGAAGAUGGUGGUUUUCCUGCUCUGAAAGGUUGCCCUGUUCAUCAUGGCGUUCCCAGCACUGUUCUGAGAACACAGGGGGUGGUGUUCCACAAAGCUUUGCUCACUGGACUAGGGUUACAGAAAUUCUAAUGAAUAUGAAGGACGAGAUCAACCAUCUUGUGUUUCGGAUCACUCUCUAAAAUGCAGCCCAGAAAAUAAAACAACAUCAAGAUGACUGGUAUUAUUCUCUACAGGCCCCAAAAUUUCCAACUACAAAGAGAGCACAGGAGAAAGGGGAAUGGAGACUGCGAGCUGUGUUCUAGUUUGUCCUUGGGUCCGCUCAGUAGAAGACACACUUAUUGUACGUAAGAACAAGCUGCUCUAACUGACAAGAGCAUCCUCCUUCGUUACACGGAUGAAAUGCAGAAAAUCAGAUGCGCACCGAAAGCUUCAAGUCUGUCACCUGAGCCACAGCAUACCAUCGACUCAGAAAUGUCAGCUGUUCAUCCUGGAACUGUGAACAUUUCUUGGCUGCGGCCUGAAUAAGAAGGACCCACAGACUUGAGAUUUUCUUCUCUGAACGAGAAGAAUGCUAGAGUGGGAGACAUCAGCAUCAGCCACAGUCAGACAUUUCAGAGGCUUUUGUGGAGAGCCCUAAGGCAUUAUUUUCUUUUUAAACAAAUACCACUAAACCAAUUUUAAUGUAUCCACCUAUUCUGUUAAGUGUAACAAAACUGAAGUCCAAGAGGGGUGACUCACUUCAGAUUACACAUUAGCCUCUGACCUAAAACACUAUUUGGUAUUUAUUUUUAAUGUGGUCUCUAACAAAAACUAAUUAGUAGCGGAGGGCACUGUGUUAAAAAUGGUACAUUGAAACUGUGUAAAAAGUCACUGAGUAGAGAUAUAAGAUGUGGAUUUUAGUAUGGGGUAUUUUAAUCCUUGUUAAAAAUUUCCUCAUUAAUAAAAGGAUUGAUUUAAUGAAUGCAUUUUUAGAGCUAAAGACCUGUGAUCCCAUCUAUCAAGUACCAUUGCUUUCAUUGUAUCUGCAACAGGCACUACAAGAGACCCAUCAGAUGUCUACAUCCUGAGCCUGGUCCUCAAAUUUUUCAGGAGAGAUUUCAUAACCAUAUUUAAGAAUCUUGAGAUGGAUAGAUAAUAUGAAAUCCCAGAUCAUCUGUAUGGACCCAAUGAAAUUUCAAGGAAGGUAAAAGGGUCAGGUCAGUACAGAGAGGGCUGGGAGAAGUUAGGGAGAUGUGCUUGCUGCUUAGAAGAAAGUCAGGGAACCAUGCAGGUGGUCAGGCCCCAGAAGGCAGAACAAGGAUUCUUCCUCAGGGUCUUCAAAGGCAGUGAAGUCCUGCUGACAGCUUCAUUUUAAAACUUGUGACCUCCAUAAUUUUAAGAUAACAAAUGUGUGUUGUCUCAAAUCACACGCUUGUGAUAUUUUAAGCAGUAAUAAGAAAUUAAUGCAAAACUAAAUGUGUUUUGGUAAGAUUUGUACACAGCUAUAUCACAAAAAGAAAAAUCCAGAAAAAUUAUCUUUUGUAAAAAUUGAUUUGAUAUCAAAGGUGAAAAGUUUCUAUUGUUAAUGGUUUUGAAGUGAGAAAAGCCUCUGUGGGUGUAGUCAUGAGAUGUCUACAAAAGUAAAGCAGAGUCAUGAGAACAAUAAUCACAGUAAGGAAAAAGUAUUGAGCCGUUAUUACAUGCUAGGUGCCACGGUAAGAAUAUGACAGGUGCUAUUAAGCCUUGUCUUCAGCAUGCUCUGAUUUCACUGACCAUCCUCCUGCCUGCCCUGCCAUUUCACGUGAUACAUAAGAGCAGCAUUUAACCCAGCAAGAGGGACAAAGAGGAGCUGGGAGCAGAUGAAAGGAUUCGAUAAUGUUCUUCAAAAGAGAAGCCCGAGCUCACUUAUCUUGCUUUAGUUCAGAACAUACUCAGGGUUGUGAGCGUGAAAUAGGAGGCAGGGCCUUUCAUCAGCCUCAUGUCAGACACUAGUUGACAGUAUCCCACACACUGCUUCUUCUCAUGGAUGACCAAAUACUCAGGCACCUCAUUGAAAACCCAUCUCCUCUAAGCCAAGUGCAGACACUUGAAGGGGAAAGAGGCAUAUCACAGAUCUGCUUACCAGGCAGUUUUCAUCGGAAGACUUACAACUGCUCAACUGGGAUUUCCUAUGCUGCAUUUUCAAGAGAGGUAAGGAUAAGAAAAAAUACGUUGAUGAGCUGCACAUUCCUCCUUGACUCAGUUUCCCCAGAAAGUAAAAUAAACUGAGUUCUACUAUUUUAAUCUGUAGUUUUCUACUUUAUUUUCUGUAUACUAUUUUAUUUUCUGUGCAUGGGCAUUUUGCCUGCAUGUGUGCCUGUACCCCAUGUGUAUGCAGUGCCUGCCGAGCCAGAGAGGGUGUCAAAGUCAGUCCUAGGUGCACAGAUACAUACACAGUCCAAACACUUUCUCCCAGUGUCACUGUAUAGGUACUGGGUUGGAAUAGAACCCAGGUCUUCCAAAGAGCAGGCGGUGUUCAUCACCACUGAGACAUCUCUCCAAGCUCUCAAACUCCACUAUUGUUAAAACUAUUGAGUAAUACCUUACCCCCCUUUUAGAUCAUUCUGCACAAGAUGUAGAUGCUGAGCUCACCAAAGCUGUCUCUGUGAGCACCAUCAUAGCAGCAACUCCUAAAAUACCUUGCUAAUGAAUUAAUUAUGGAAAUUAAUCAUGGAAACAAAAACAGCCCAUAGUAAGUCUCAGUGUCUAAUUCUAGAAUCAUGUAGAAAGCAUAUGUCAGCAUUUACUCUUGUUUUCGCUUCAUUCUAGUCACGUGUCCUCGGCGUCCUCUAAAUAUGGACAACAAUGCUUCUUCUCAUUAUUUCAUGAUUUCAAAGACCACUGACUACAUUACUAGGGAGUAAACCUCUGUGUGGAAGCACAAGUCCAACUGUCUAAUUGUUAUAUCAUUAUGACUAAGCUAAAGAAUACUGUGAUUAGUUUAGCAUGAAAUGGAAUGAAUUAGAAUCCCUGGAGCCUCACAAAGUGCAGGAAAAGCAACUAUGAGAAGGAGGGAAAUACUGUUAUUGAAGUAGAAGAGGAACAGCUUUGUGGGGCUUCAUUACUUCCUUCACGAUGUGAAGAUGUGUGUCCUAUUUUACACACAGGCAUGUGAGCGCAGGCACACACACACACACACACACACACACACACACACACACACACAUUUGUAUUUUAUAUAAAUAACAAUUACAGUGAUUAAGUGGCCAAACAUUUUGGCAAAACAUUUUAAGUAUAUGGAUUUAACUAGAGUUCUCUUUGGAUAGCAGUCUGAAUACUACUACAAAGAUCUUAAGGCAGCUUCUAAAACAGUCAUCCCACCGGGAUUAAUUCUAGGAGUUCUGCCAGGGUAUAGGAAGCAGAACUAGCUCUGGCAGUAUUGUUGAGAUUUCUAUGUAAGAAGAACAAAAACUCACAGAAAAAUGUCAAGAUACAGAACUGGACAAAUAAAUUCCUUUUGAAUCUCCAAGUAUGCCCUAAAAGAUCUGUUUGGCUAGAGGAAAAGAGGGUGAGAGAGAGUAAGAGAAUGGAAGAGGGAGAAGGAGGUGGUGAACCAUGGAAAAGUAAAGGAGGAAGGAAAGAGGGAGACUGGUGUGGGAAGGAAGACAGAAAGAACUGUAAAUAUAAGUGCAAAGAAAAAGGGUAAAAGCACUACAGGGAAAGAAGAGAGGAUUGGAGGGGAGAUGCGAGGUAAAACUUUAAGUGAACACAGGCGUUAGUAUUAGACUCAAGGGACUACAUCUGAGGAAGUCCAAGACAAAGAUAUAAGAACAAUUCUCUAAACUAUCAUUGCUUCUUGCUUUAACACUCACACAAACGUUGGCGGUUCAAAUUGGUCUUCAUAAACUUGCAUCUGCAUAAGUUAUUCUUGAAUGCAACCUGUAGCUCAGAUAAUUACCGUGUAAAAAUACUAAAGUCUCAAAGAGUUUAAGCUUUCAAUAGAUAACAAACAUUUCAUUUUAUUUACCAACUUCCAUGACCUAAAUCCUUGUAAGUGUCAUUUAUGGUUUUUUGAACCAAAGAAGUGCUUGUUGGAGGGUUAUAUGUGUACCUAUGUGUCAGCAUACAUGGCUAUAGAAAUCAUCGAUGCUGCCAUCAAAGUGACAAAAUGAGAUAAAAUAACCUCUUGAAAAAAAAGAAAGAAAAGAAUGAUGCAUAAUUAUCUGAAUUUCCUUUAGGAAAGAAUCUAUUACCAAUUAACUUUUUAAAAGUCAUACAUCUACUUACGUAUACUUGUCUUACAUAAGCUCUGAAUUAUAUAUUGGUUCUCCUUAAAUAUAAAGAGAAUGAUGCAUCCAAGUCAUACAGUAAAUAUCAGAAUAUGAAUUAAUUUAAUAUUGAGUGAUGAACUACUAUACAAAUGUACAAAGAACAAGACUUACUAGUGAAAAACCACAUUAAAGUAAGAUAAACUAGAUAUUCAUCAAGGGGAAUGAUUCAUCCAUCAAGAUAGACCAGACAUCCAUCACCACGAACCAGCUAUCUGUCGAGAUGGACCGUGGCUGCACAAGGUGCCAAAAACAGUGUUCAGACCCAAACAAGACAAUCAUAUCAUAUCCUCUCAGGCUCGGGGAACUUGUGGAAGAAAGCAGAAAGAGUGUAAGAACCAGACAAUAGGUUGAAGCACUGUCAAAUGUCAUUUUCUGUGCAAGACAUAGCAAUUGAAAUUAGAGCAAUCAACAAUUAGGCAUGGAUGAAUGGCCCUACAGCCUCACUGCUGGACCAUUUACUUCUUAUGAAUUCCCUUCAGUUGUAUGCUCCAAAAGAUUAAAUGCCCUCCAAACAAAAACACAAUUUAUAAAUCUAGGAAAGGAACUGUUAAGGAUGGGAGGGGUGAUGGGAAUAGAAGGGAGAUAAUGGGAAGGAUGUAUGAUCAGAAUACCUUUUAUACAUUUAUACAUGAAUAAAAUUGUCACAGAACAAGAUUAAGAAGUGAAGAAACAUAUUGUACGUCAUAGGUAGUAUGGCAAAAUGGAGACUCAAAUAUAUGGAUAUCAGAUUAUAGUAUCUGCUAUCAUCCAUAAACUCACCAUUGAUUUAUUCCAUAGGAGGAAGAACUACUUUGGAAUAGCUUAUAUCUAUAUGAUAAUUACCUAAUAUUUGUUGAGAAUGAAGUACAAACAGAUAUCCAUCAAUAUCAACAAAUAUCCAUCAAGGUGAAUCAGAUAUUUGUCCAGAGAGAUCGGUAACCAUCAACAUGGACCAAGUGUCAGACAAUAUGGAACAGAUAUCCAUUAAAGUAGACAGACUCUACCAGCAUAGAUCAAAUCUCCAUCAAGAUAGAAUAUUUGUCAAAAUUAAGCAUAUAUUUAUCAAACUAUACUGGAUAUCCACCAAGAGGCAAAUGGGUAAAGCAGAAUGUCCUGAAUGUCUAUGCCCCAAACAGUAUCUAACAGUAAAAUGAGAAUGGCUGAUGGACUCAAUACAAUAAAUGGAAAGUAACCAAAAACAAGAGACCUCACAGUAGGUGAUUCUACUUAUCUAAAAUCUAGAAAUUUCAAACAGACAUAGGUGACAAAAUAAAGAGUUUUCUUAUGUGUUGAAUCCAUGAGACCAUAUGGAGAAAUGGACUGUGGAAUUCAAAGGAUUGUGGUGGUAAGUUGUGGAAUUCCAGUACAUAUUUCUUAAACUUUAUUUAGUUAUAUACUUAGGUGAUACCAUUAUACAUCACUAGUACUUCAACAAAGAAAAGGUCUGGUACAGUGCUGCACAAUAUUAAUAAUGCAUCAGAGGCCUAGAGAGAUUGCUCAGUGGUUAAGAACAUUUGUGCUCUUGCAAAGGAUCUGAGCUCAGUUUCCAGCAACCCAUGUGGUGGCUCACAACCUUCCCUAACUCCAUUUCCAGGGUAUCUGAUACCCUUUUCUUACCUCCAGAGUACCCAGUACACAUGUGAUAUAGAUGCCUACAUAUAGGCAAAGUACUCAUACACAUAAAAUAUAAUAAAUAAAGCUGAAGAAUUUUUUUAAAGGGCACAAAAUUGGCUGGGAAGGGAAGGAGAGUGACCUGGGAAAGAGUUUGGGGAGGGAGUGAAUAUGACCUAGUAAAGCUAACAAAAAUAAAUGUAAAAAUUAAGCCAAUACCAGCCAGGUGGUGGUGGCGCAUGCCUUUAAUCUCAGCACUUGGGAGGCAGAGCCAGGCAGAUCUCUGUGAGUUCGAGGCCAGCCUGUAUAUAUAGCCAAUACCAAAAAUUGUGAGAGAAUGCUUAAAAAAGAUGAUGCAUAAAUAUUUCAAAAAUCUAGAAGAAAAGAUUUCUCAAAACUUUUAUCACAAAGCAAUUAUACUUGAGGAGACAUUAUGCAAUGUAUACAUGCAUUAAAACAUACUGUUCUCUGUUAAUUUGUUUUAUGUAUCAGUCAAAAAUUUCAUGUAAAUAGAAAGAUAAUAAAUAAAAAGUAAAGUCUGAAUGCAUAUAUAUAUAUAUAUAUAUAUAUAUAUAUAUAUAUAUAUAUAUAUAUAUAUAUAUCCCCAGAUAAAUUCAGAAGUCAUUUGAAAUUCCUAACCAUCCUGUGAUAAAUGAGUGGAAUUUUUAUGGUAAGAACCUCUCCCCUCAGGAUUUAUCUAAUAUUUCUGAUACUUCUAAUUCCCUGAGUAAGUCAAAGGAGUGAACGCCACUGAUCUCCAGUGAUGGAAGAAAAAUAUCAAACCCUGGAAGACCUAAUGAACAAGACAGCCACAGGAGAGAAAAAGAGGUCCAAGAAAACAAUGUCUUCUUUUGCUUCUGGAAUGUGAUAUGCCUUGAUGCGCACAGACUUAUCUAAAAGUCUCAUCAACUCGGUAAGGGUACAAAGACAAGUCUACACCCUGGAAAAUUUUGACAAACAUUCCAUAUCACACAAUUUUGAAAGCCUCUCAGUCCUUGUACCUUCGUGCUUACUUUCUGAACACGUUUCCCCCUCUGGUUUGAAUGUUGUCAGCCAUAUAAUUGGGCAAAGAACACCGAGAAUGGCAUUUCAUUACGUCAUGUAUUUCCACAUAAAAAGGUAACAAAAUAUUUAAGAAAAAGUAAGUAGACUUAUUGCAUAGCUUUGGACAACUCCUGUCUCCUGUAACUAAAUGCAGGAGCACACUUCUCAGGAUGUUCAACUAGUCCUUGGAAAUGGAACAAAUAUCAAAUGGAACAACUCAUACCAAGUAAUUAAUACAGUAAUUUUCUGGCUAACAAUUAUUUUAAAAAUCAUAUUUACUCCAAAUUCAGCCACAGGAUUUUAGUUCUAGGAUUCUCCUCCAAUACCCAAUCUGUGGAUGAUAAAGUCUCUAAGACUAAAUGAUAUCUCAUUUCUAUGGAUUCACAUCCUUCUAUAUGCUUUAAAUCGUGCUGAAUUAUGUAGAAUACCCGGGACAACACAAAUCAUAUGUAAGUUGUUAAACUGUCUCAUUUAUGAAAUAAUGACCAAGAUAAAAGAUCUGUAUGUAUUCAGCACAUAUGCAAUUGUUUGUAAAUAUAUUUCAUCCACAAUUGGUUGAAUUUACCAGUGUUGCACCCACAGAUGCAAAGAUUUUGUUUUGUUAUCCAAAAUUCAAUCUAUAUAUACCCAGAGCACACUAAGAGUACUCUGUUCUCUUGUGUGCAUAGAGAAUUGACUCUCUCAGAAAUGUAAUUGUUGAUGGCAUCCACAGAAAAGGUCUAUUUUCAGUUAUUAAGGAACCAUGAUGCUGCUCAUUUUAUAAUGAUUCCUGCCUUCAUCUUAUAAUGGCUGUUUGGAAGAGAAAGGCCAUUCUUAAGCAUGAAAAUGCAAUAUAAGGAAGUAGUCAAAGUCUUUUAUGAAUAAGAGCAAAGUAUUUUGAACCAUGGGAAGCAAAAACCACAACCACAUGUGUAUCUACUCAGCCAAAGCAGGAAAGAUAAUUAAGUAGUUAAUAUUGUGACUAUGGUAGACAUGAGAUUUUUUUAAUAAAUAAAUCAAUUCUUCUGCUUCAGCAAUCACUUUUUCAAGGAAUUUGAAACAAAUAGUUAAGAAUUUGCUAGCACAUAUAUUAAGAAACAUGUCUUUAAACCAUGGGGAGAAAGAAAAAUAAGCUAACUCUCAAGUUUUUUCUUCACACACAUAUCAGAAAAUUCUCUCAGUUCUUUUAUCCAAGGAGUAAAACAUGUUCCUGGCCAACAUGACUAAAGAAGUACAGAAAGUCAAACAGAACUGUUAUUGAUGACUGCAGUGAGCAAGGAUGAGUGUCUGAAAUCACCUGAAACUUAGUGGACAGCUCUGAACUUGCUAGCAAGGUGUACUAUCUCUCUAUUUGAUGUUGAAUGUUCAGCAGACUAAACUGUUGAUAUUCACUAGGUAAUGGCACUCACACUUUCUGCUUUUAUUUUCUAACCAAACACCAAAGGGCAUGAACAUUAAUUCCACAGAACAAAACAAUGUUUUCAGGUUAAAUUCAAGGCAUAAAGAGAUGGCAAAAUUUAUUAAUAUAAAUAUUUAUUGUGUUCUAAUAAUUGUUUUUAAACAACUACAAAAAGGCACAAUGUGUCACAAGCAAAUAUAUCAAAUAUAUAAACAUGCUUACUGUGAAAUUCUUGUCUGUGUAGCCAGGGUAACCUGUAGUUUAGGCAAUACUAUAUAUUUGUGUGCCCCUAGACUAAGAAAGUUUGCCAAAACACACAGUGAGCUCUCUAUUCCUCGAAGCUUAUAAUUUGCUCCACAUAAAAAAUAAAUGUAAGAUGUAAAACCUAAUAGAAAUGAAGAUAACUUUAAAACACAUUUUAUAAAAUAUUAUCUCCAAAAGUACAUAUAAUCUAGAGACCAUACAUAUCCUAUGGUUCAAGGAUAAAGAGUUUGAAAGACAGGCUAAAUUAGACUACUCUUUUCCCAUGCAUUGUUUCUACACACAGGGACAAGUUAGCUAUAAUUUGUUCUGGGGAGAAAUUCUUCAUAAAAAGAGAUAGGGUAAUAAACUGUUAUGAACUAAAGAAGGAUAUGAAUAGUUCAUAAUUCCUGUCAUCAAACAGUGAACUCUGUCUCCAUCUCUUGAAUCUACAAUUGUCCAUAUGACUUGUGUGGCUAAUUAAAACAUUAACAGAAAGACAAAGAUAAUGCAAAUAGAUGCUUGAGUGGUUCAUCCAUCAUAUUUACUCUCUCUUAACUGCUUCAGAGCUCAGCUUCAUGGGAAGCUUACCCUACCCCACUGGGUUUUGAAGACGGAUUUUUGGUCACUCAGGCGACAUUUGUUUAAGGCAGUUUGGGGUGAGUCGGCCAAGAGUAUACCUCCAUGCUGGGUAUAGCCACAUAUGAAAGCUCUGAUGAUCCUGAAAGAACCAGCCAAGGGAACUCAGCCAAACUGCCAAUACACAAAAUCACUAUAUUCUGAAGUUGGUUGGUACUUGGAAAAUGCUAAUAGAUACAUGUGCUAAACUAGCUUACAAUGAAAGCCUUUAACAAUUUGAACUGGGAUUUAUGGCCCUAUUUAUUGUAAAUUGGUUCCAUUAGAUGCAGGAUUAAUUUAUAUGGACUGAGGGCUAAUGAAAAGGAAAGAAAUCUAGAAGAUUGGAACCAAAGUUGAUUUCUAAAAUAUAAACAGAAUGGAGAAAUACAAAUUAAACUCUAGAACUAAGAGUUUCAUAAAUUAAAUCCCAUAAAAUGAAUUAUAUAGCCUUAGCAUUAGAACUAAGUUUUGUAAUUUCUCAAGGGGUCAAGAAUUUACCUUGAAUUCAUGAAUCUUGAAAGAAUAUAAGGGGAGAUAUUCCAAGAUGCUGAAGACUCAAUGGUUUCCACAUAUUUGUUGGCUAUUGAUCAGUACAGGCACAUUUCAGUCUCUAACAAGUGGCAGGGCUAUGACAGUGUGUGAAAGUCCAUUCCAAAAACACCCACGAGUCUUUAAAAUCAGAAGCAUUGUCAUAACUUUGCUACCUCAUUUGGCAUAUUAAUGUGUUUUAGGUUUUUAUGUGCUUAUUUUAGAAACUGUGAAGUAGCUCUUGGCUUUAUAGCCUGUUUACAAAAGUGACUGAACCCUGAAUAUGUAACUAUGACUUGGGGUGUCAGGACCUCUCUGGCAAACAAGGUACACUUAGAAGAAAUAGAGAAUUUAUUAUAAUAUAAAUUUAUUCAAAUUUUAAAAAGAUUACUUGUUUCUUUCAACAAUGUAUCUCUACUAAAAAAGGAAUAAUUGAGACCAGUUAUAGUUUAAUUGAGUCAAUUAUUCCAAAAUUGGUAAUCACAAAGAUGAGUAGCUAAUAAGAAAUAUAAUAAGGUCUCAGAGGUUAGAAUGAGAAAUAUUUGAAAAACAUCCCAGGAUGCUUCAAAUUUUUCAUAAAUCUGGAAGAAGAACUUGAAAACAAUGGCAAUGGUGGUGGGGAACCUGAGUCUUUCAUUAAAAUUUUGAACCUGGGAAGUUAGGCAGACAGACUGUUCCUCAAGGGCAUUAGACAGUACCAGAAUAUCCUGUGCUGUUUCCAGAACACAGUAAAAAACAUAGCAUAUGUUCUCCUUAAAAACCAGGGUUCUAUGCAACUGGACUCUCUUAAGCAAGACAUGAGAUUCAGUCCUCCAGUGCUGAGGUGCUAAAAGAUGGGCACAAAUAGGAGAAGCAUUUACUCCUCAAUAGUAACACAUCAAGUGAGUGAAAAGUUAGGCAUUCCUUUAUGAAAACGUGAAGAAAAGGAAUAAAGUGGAGAAGGAAAACAAAAAGGAGGAAAAAAUGGAAAUGAAACCUGUGUUCAAGUAUAAAUCUUCCAUAGCGACAUUCCUGUGAAUCUGCUGAGAAGUAUGCAGAUAGUAUCUUAAGACAUUAUCUUUCUUGAAACUGAAUAAAGGCAUAAGGGAUGAUAUAUAGUAUCAUUAAGAGAGACAAGGCAACUGAAGCAAGGAUCUCCAGCUAGAAUGAGAAGAUAGACAUAUAAUUAACCUGAUCUCUAUGAUCCAAAUGAGAAGGAACAGGGGACCACUUACAGGAGGAUGGAGAACUAAGACAAAAGACUUUGCCUUCAACUGCUUCAGCAACAUUUGUCGUUCUAAAGCAAUCUACUGUAUGAAUAGACAAAGCUGAGGUCAACAUAUAGCCACUCUAUUAUUGAUAAUAUUUAAAUGAUUCAUGCUGCUGAGCUAAAGAGAACAGCAAAUGACUCCCAAAGUUGUUUCUUGCCAUACCAGUUUCAUUAUUGAUAUAAUACAUCCUCUUGUGAAAAAAAGGCAAUGUCAGAGAAAUGAAAAUCCUUUUAUUUACAAGUGUUCAGUUUUCUAGGGGAAGCAAGCAUCAAAAGAUGUUCAAAAACUAAAUAUAUAUGUGAAGAUACUUAUCACAUAUUUGUUUAUAAUAAAAAUAUUUAAAGUUGAGAAAAUACACACCAUAUUGGAAUGACCAAGAAAAAUUAUGCACAUUGAAUGAAUAGAAUAUCGUAUAGGUGGAAAAUCUUAGUAAUAAAAUAAAAUAAAAAUAAACUAUGUAGUAAUAGUAAGAAAAUGGUAAUGAUAUAUGCUCAGGGAUAAAUACAAUUUGUAUUAUAAAUAUAUGACAAUUGCUAUGAGGUAGGAUAGAGAUGCAUAGAGGAAAGGGAACUGGAGAGAGGUUAUUAAAAAGCUUUUCCUCUCUAUUCUGUUUUAUAUAUUAAAAAUGUAAUAUAGUUAUAUUAUUAUAGUAAACCAGUUAUUUAAAAUAACUCCUAAGGUUUUUAUUAUAAUAACUAUGGCUUUCUUUCAUUAUCCCUGCAUGCCAUCAUAGUUACUUGAGGUCAUUAUAUUAAUCUAUAUUACUAUAUUACUGUCAUAAGAUAAACAUACUUCAAUAGCACUCUUUAAAAAUACUUAGCAUUGACUGUGCAGCAUUCACAAAGCAAUGAGCAAAUAAUGUCUUCAGCCUUCUCAGUAUAAAUGUACAAGUUGAAUCCCCCAACAAUGUGUAUGUUCAUGUCUGUGUGUGUCUGUGUGUAUAUGUCUGUGUGUCUGUCUGUGUGUGUACGUGUCUGUAUGUACAAGUGUAUAUAUGUGUGAAUGUGAGAGACAACCUAAAUGUCUGUUUCCAGCUUGUUUAAGACACGGUCUCUUCUUGUUCAGUGGUACAUUGCUAGGCUUGCUGGCCCACAGCUUCUAGGGAAUCCUGUUUCCACCUUGUAUCUUGCCAUAGGAGCUACAGGUAGCCAGUGCUAGCAUAUCUGGCCUUAUAUGGAUUCUGAAGAUCUGAACUCGGGUCCUCACUCUUGGAAGCAAGCUCUUUACCUAUUGAGACACCUUGCCCAAAAACAUCAUACACAUCAUUAACUGUUGAACUACAUGGAGCACACCACAUUCCCGUGGGUCUCUAUAUCACUGAGUAGCAUAAGCCAGGGGAAAUAUGUCAUUUAGCUUCUACUAGAGUAAAUGCAAAUGAAGGUACUUUUCACAAUUGUAUAUUAGUCUCUUCUAAAAGACUGCACAGAAAUAAGAAGCACAAAUUAAUCAUUUUAUUCACUCAAGGAAUAAAAAGAUAUAGGUAACUUGAUUUAGAUGUGAACAAAUAAAGUGAGCCAACUACACAUUCACCCAACUCUUUCUCCCAAAACUUCUAUUGCAAUAGUAUAUGGAAAAGCCUAAGCACUUCCUUCUCUGAGCAGCUGAAAGAGCUUGCUGUUGUUGUUGCUGUUGUUGUGGUGGUUGUUAUUGUUUUAGAGCGUUAAGCACAAACAUGUUUAUUGUCCUAGUAGAGAGGGGCAAUGACAAAUUCUGGUCAUGUUUUUCUUCUGCUGACACUUAGCUGACUGUAUUUAUCUCCACUCCCAGGCAUCCAUAGAAAAUAACAAAUUAUUUCAGUGUGAUGAUUUUUAGCAGGAUAAAUCUAUAAUCUAGUAGGUUUGAGUUUUCAUCACUCAUGCAAGCAUACAAAGACGAGUUUUAAUUAUUGAUGAUUAAUCUGGUUUUCAACCUUUUCUCCGUGUUAUCCAUUGAGAAACCAAGAAAUAUCUCUAAAUAGAAUUUACUAAUAGAAGUAAUGACAGUAUCUAAAUUAAAAUAAAAUGCUAUUUUAUGUCAUUAUAAACCCUGUCUACUGAUUAUCCUCCCCAAUAUCUUAUCUGAUCAUUUGCUAGUAACUAACAUCUGACAACUAAGGUGAUCUGAGAGGUUAGUGCUAGGUCAACACUGAACCUGCUAAGAACCUGUGGAGUCCUAAGACUGAGUUAUCUGAGUUGUCUGCCUAGUGCUUCCCAUUCACUAUCUGGGAGCUGCCUAGAAUUGUUCUUGAGUACAUUCUGUGAAGCCAUCUUUCUGGCCAGAGUUUCAUAAUGAGAUACUUUUACUCCUAUUCUACGAAGACAGCAACGUUUACUUCUUCAUGGCUAAUGGCCAAGUUUUAUAUGUAGAAUGACUAAACUGUAAAUAAACACUGUACUUUGUGAAAUUAUAUGUUUAAAAAUAUUAAGGAAUAGAAAAGCAUGAUUAUUGAAAAUUUGUUUUAAAUAACUAAUAGAAAAAGAAAUGACUGUGACCUUAUUUUUUUCUAGGGGUCAAUGGGGAUUAACCAUUCCUCUGUUCAAGUAUAAAACUUAAUACUUCUAUAGAAUAAUUAAGUAAUUGAUAAUCAAUGUUAAUUAAAAUUUUUCUAGUGUCAUAGAAUCCAUCCAUUGAUUCUAGAAAAAAAAUGAAACCGAAAAUCAAGUUACAGAGAUAAAAUCUAAAAUGAAAGUUAAAGGUAAUUAGGCUAAUAUAUUUAUAUUCAAAUGCACACAUAAGGAGGCAUUUUCUUCUGAAAACAUAACAGCCCUUCCAGGGAUACAAACCUCCAAAUUGUCAAAGUUUGUUCUGCAAUCAUUCAAACACAACUCACAGGCUUUAAAAUAUUGCCCCAAACAGGAUAAUGUUAUAUGAUAUAAAGUUAUUUAAUAACUAAGAAAUGUAAUCUACUUAAUGUAAUCUUUCAAUUCCACAUUCCACUCUCUGGCUAGGUGAAGAUGCAUCUUAAAUGCAUUUUCUUUCUCUUAAAGUGCUUCUGAAUGAACCACACAGAACAUUCUGGCAUCGAUUACUUUCAAUCUGUUUCAGAAACUGUAAAUAAAUACAUGUCCUUUCAUCUCUAAUUUCCAGUAUUAAGAAAAAUGUCUACCUCAUUUCCCCCUUCAUAAUGUGUCAACAAGCAAGUCAACUGUUACAAUCCCUUCAAAUAUUAAUGAUGUGCUGGAUAAUUUAGGACAAUAUACAUUUUCAAGUAUAUAGAUACUUCAGAUACUUUCAAAAAAAUUAUGUAGUGUAGAAAAAAUAUCUUACUCUCAAGAAUUCGCAUUUAAUACACAACAUGUCAUAUUUUGAAGGCACCAGGAAUAGUCACUGCUUCUUAAAGUAAAGCCAAGAAAUCCCAUGAGAUGACGUUUUUAUAAUUAAAGGUAUUUCUCUAGCAAAAUGGCUAGAAACUGAAAAACUUUCAAAUUUAAAGAGAAUCCAGGAUGCAUUUGAUUCUAAUGGCUUUAAUGAAGCAAAAUUGAACUAAUGCUCCACAAAACCAAGCAAUCCACUUGGCUUUAUUUUGUUCAGUUAUUUAUUUAUUUUCCUUUCCAUUCACUGACCUGACCAAGUGUUUUGGCUUCAAGUAGUAGCAACUUCAAUUAAAGAUAAUGUUUGUUUGGCUUGAAUGAAGACUCAAACCAGGGACUCUAAUGUAAGUCCUGAGAUACUCAGAAAACAAACAAGGUAGUCCUUAAGGCACACUUCACAGAAGAGUAGGGUGUUCUCAAGGUAAUGAUACCAGGAGAGACCCGCAGAUGCCAUCUCAACUGCAUCUCAAUAUUGGAAGCCUUACUUCCAAAACAGAAGAUCUAGACAUGGUAUGACUUAAAUUGAAGUUUAAAAGAGAAGCUGGCAUGAAGUUGCUUUAAGAAUGAACUUCAUUAGGAGACAUAUAUUCACCACUAUAGUCAGCCAUGACCAAGUCUAGAAUUAGGAGAGCAUGAGAAAUGAUGGCCACCAAGAAUAGCAUGAAGGGGUGUCCUAAAGAGACAGACCUUUCGCUCCAGAGAACAAAAGAGCUUUUCAGUGGCAUCAGGAAGUUUUCCCCAUACCAUGUGGCUUAGCUAGGUCUAAGCUUUGUCCAAAGGGGUAAUAGGCAGGUACUACAAGCUUAUCCUACAGCUAUAACCUGUAAGGCCAUGCUUUCUUAUCAACUUUCUGUUCCAGAAAGAGACUGUAGGGAUGGAGACAUGGCCUGAUUUCUGGAAGAGGGAGAGAGGUAUAUGGAGUCUCUAUAAGCUAACAAGACAGUGUCUUGAGAACAAAUGAAAAUCUGAGCCAACACCAGCUAUAUCUCAGCAAUGCAGACUAAAAGUCUCACAGAAACAUUAAAAUUGAUCUCACAUUUUCUCACUUGACCAACUGCAAUUACACAAUUCUGUUUCCUAGUAGAUGUAGUAGAAAUAGCCACCCAAAACAAACAAACAAAACUUUUUGCAUUUAAGAACAAAAUCUAUGCCCUUAUUUAGGUCAGAAUUUGUGGAAGCAAUAUCGGUUGUAUUUUUUUAAAAGAAAAUAUUCUUAUGGAAACAGAAGAAUGAUGAUCUCAGAAAUGCUACUCAAGAGAUUUUUAAAAAUAACGUUUACUCUUUUUCAGAUAUUUCUAAUUUGUGUUGUCUUCUUUCACUUCUGUACCUCUCUUUGUCUAUCUGUCUACCUAUUUACCCAUCUAUCUGUCUAUCACUCUACCUAUCCAUCAUCAUCACCACCACCAUCAUCGUCAUCUGUCCCUAUACUUCUCUCUCACUACUCUCUCUCAUGUUACUAAAUUAAAGAAUGUUGAGAGGCAGAGGCAGGUGGAUCUCUGUGAGUUCGAAGCUAGCCUGGUCUACAGAGGGAGUUCCAGGACAGCCAGGGCUACACAGAGAAACCCUGUCUUAAAAAACAAAACAAAAGAAAGGAAGGGGAGGGAGGAAAGGAAGGAAGGAAGGAAGGAGGAAAGGAAGGAAGGAAGGAAGGUAAAUUCUGUGGAGGAAAUACUUUGCACACAAUUACCAUCACUCUUUGAAAACACUAACUAUUGUUACAGCUUUAACAACCCCUCCCCCCCCCCCGCCUCCAAAAGUAAGUUAUGUCAGCUUGGAUUUAGAACUAUUUAUUAUUCUGUUGGUUCAGAAGCUAUUAUUUAAAAAAGUACAUUUCAGGAAACAAGAUACGAUUUUUUUAAAGUGUCAUUUCUUCAUAAUAGUCUGGCAGUUCAAGCUCCAGUAAGAAACUAGACCCUGUCACAAAUGUAGAUAGCUUCUGAGAAAGAAGAAAACAUAGGAACAAUGGGCAAAAUUGGAUUUUUUACAAAAAUGAAUCUUUUUCAUAUCUUAAAAAUUCAUUUACCUAGAUAUGAUUUUCUGAAGAUUCAGGACAUCUUGCAUAGCCCAGCCUGCACUUAAGGAACAUCUAUGGAAAAAAUAACUGCUGAAUGAGAAGUCUGUACACAGUUUUUUUCUUCUAAUUUUAGUCUGGGUAGGACACCCAUAAACAUCAUUAGAAUUUUUUUUCCCCUUUGGUAAUACUAUACAGUAGGAUAAAUCUGAAAAUCUUCAUAAUAGAACACUUCAUUGUCUUUGUUCAAGCUUCCCAGUCAGGGUUGAUGUCAGCCACAAAGGGACCAACCUAAAAAUAGACUGAGUGAGCGGACUAUAGCUUGCCUGCUGUCAGCUCCUCACGUUAGCCCUGAGUGGAAAAUUCAGGUGCUGCCUCUUUGUGUAUAAACACCUCCCCUUAAGCAAAUCAAUGUAGCAGUCAAAGCAGUUUCAGUAGCCUAAGGUGUAACACAAGAGGCAUUUAAAAAGCUGGCAAAUCAACAUUUUUGUCUAGGGAUCAAAAUGAGGCUGAUGUUUAUGUUUAUGAAAAUGAGGACAUGUUUAUGAAGCAAAAGACAUCAAACUCCCCUUAUUUGUGACUCAAUACCUAAUAACAACUAUGUCAGAACAGAUUUUAUUGUUGUUAUUAUUAUGUUCCCAGGUCGUUCCACACCAGCAUUGUUUCUACACAGUACUAAAGCAUCUGGAUGAAAAACAGGAAGAAAAAAUCUAAUCAUCCAGCUGUUUCAAAAAUCCCAGCUGUUCAGUAAUAGGCAGAAAAGAGCUAGCAUAAUGACAGGACAGAAGAGACUCACAAUGCAGGUGACAGCAGGAGCUCUCUGGAUGUGCACUGCUAUGACCUGAUUUAUAAAAUAGCAAGACAUCUACUUAAAUCACACACAAAUAGCUCCUGCUAAGAACUGUGUGAACAGAGAAUGGCAAUGUCCUUCAUAUUGCAGGCUCAGGUGGAAGUAAUGAUGUGUGACAAGAGUGGGGUCUUGGGAAGGUGGGCGAGCCAAGCAUUUUCUCUGUCUGUCUCUUCAACCUUAAAAUAUGCUUAGUAAUCAGGUGAACGAUCAAAAAGCAAACAAAAAUGAUAUCUCUGUAUACUUUACUUUUUCUUUAGUUUAAACAUACAUUAUAAUCUUACACCAUUACUCAUCACCAAAGCCCUUCAGGGAAGAAACAAAAUAUUUUCAAGUCAGAUGGCUUUUUUUAAUCUCUUGCAAAGGUUAUAAUGUAACUAAGCCUUUAUAAAACUGAAAAAAAGGGGGGCAGGAGGCUUCCAGCAUGUGAUUUCCAGCAUGUUUUAGCAGUGAAGGUAGGAUUUACCUCCUGUGACAUGAGACUAAUCUCUGAGAGUGACACCAUGGAUGUACAAGGAGGAAAUGGCAGUUCCUGAAGAGAACUGCUCCCAUCUAAAGAUUCCUCUCGAUCUCUUGAGAGAAUAAAAAUAGGCUGGCAUCACAAGAUGACUCACACCUUGAGAUACUGUAUGUUGCUUCAUGCUUAUCUAUCUAGUCUAACCCUUUCUUUCUCACACUGCCUGAAAGCCUGUGAAAUAUGUGGAUUCUGAUAGUGAAAUGACACCUCUUCUCUGCGUGGAUGAAAAGCAGUCACUGCAACGGCUAAAUCAGCAAGGAGCAUAUGACAGCAGAGUUCUAAUUAGGUUGCACAACUUUUAUGAUUUCUCCAUUCCUCUAAGCAUUACACACAAGCAAUAACCAACAUAAACAUCAACACAUAGCUCUACGUUAGUGAUGUUCAUUCCCAGAGCUUCUGUUGGUUACCUAGCUCAGUUUCAAUAUAUGACCAGUGCCCAAGUGUCAGUCUUUUAAAGAUGUGAGAAUACCAUUUGCAGAAGGGAAAAGUGAGUUUUAGCCUAAUUUUGCAGCAGCGGGUGUAGCUUUCACAUGUAAGUGUUCUAGGAGACAGAAAGCAGAGAAUUGUGACAGUGGGACAUGCACUUCCAUAUGCCUACUCUAGGAGAUGCAUGCACUCUUCUGGAUACCUUGGGUUAGCAACAAUAUAUAAUUAGCAUUAUAAAAUGCAGCUGUUUUUAGACUGAUCUAGCUAAUUAUGCCAACAAAUUGAUGACUUCAUUUAGGCAUCACUCCUUGCUUCUUGACCACCUGCCUCCUACUCCGCCUGUCUCUCAGUUGGCUCUGGUCCUAGAUCCUGAUUCUAUUCUGGAAGAAAUUGGUCAAGAACUCUGAGGUCACUUAUAGAUACUCAGAAAAGUUACCCUAAUAUUCCAACGGUAUCUGUUUACUAUGAUACAGUGAGCAGGCAGACACAUCUUGUGUUGUAUUUUAUAAUUACUGAAGUCAGUUUGAAAACAGACCAAAAACAAAUGUUGCAAAAGAAGGCAUCAAAUACACCUGCCACCAUCCAAUCAAUGCACAAGUGCCUAUCUAUGUUAGAAAGCCAAAAUGGUUAUAUGAAAUCUAUCGAUUUAAAUAUAAUAUUGAAAGUCAAGGAAGGAGUACAGAAAUGCAAAGGGAUUGCAUUAUAUUCUCAGGAAGAAUGAAUUAAAUAAGUCACUAUUUCCAGGCUACAUCUCUCUCCAAACAAAUAGUUCUGACUAUAUAUUGCAACCUCCAAAUAUAUUAAUUUCUUAAGAUGGUUAGCUAGAAAUAUGCCUGAAGUUAAUAAAAUAAUAUGAAACUUAGGAUCUCUAACUACUCUUUUCUUAAAUCUCAUUCUAUUAUUAAGACAAUCAACCUGAAAUUUAAAAAUUCUGGGAGAAGGACAGCUAGUUUAUUUAAGGGUGCUCCUAGCAGGUCAAACACAUUCCAGUGAAUGACACACACCCAAGAAUACAAAGGCAGCACUCAUUGGCUUUGUUGUUUUGAAUGCAAGCACAAAAUUGAGUAGGUAUGGAAUGGGAGAUAGAUAUGGAAGAAGAGAAGGUAGGGGAGCAAAUAUGAACAAAAUGUAUGAAAUUCUCAAGAAUUCAUAAAAAUAUUUUUAAAAAUAGAUAAUGACCUAUUAAAAUUUUGUUUCAACCAGAAAUGGCAAGUAAGUAAAUAAAUCUUAAACCAAAGGCUUUCCCUAGGGAGUCUAUAACCUCUUCACAGACAUCAGUCCAAAGAGACUCAUUAAUUAUUUCCUACUCUCCCUGGUAGCAACUGAAAACCUCUUUUGGAUCAUGAUCCCUACCAUUGAGAAGGAAAAGAAAGACUCACUCAGGUGCUAUCAACGCCAUGAGUGUUCUUUGGGGAAAUCACCAAUCCAUUCAAGUACAAGCUUAUUCAGUCUAUAAAUAGAACAGCAUGCAUCUUCCAAGCUAGCUAAGAUGGUCCUUAUCAUGACUGGGUAUGGAUUCAGAUAAUUAUCAUCUGGUCUUAUACAAAAGCCUGUAUUCUCCAACUAUUUUAUGUGAGUGCCUUCAGAGACUAAGAGAUAUUAAUAACAUAAAACUUUUAAUAUUAUAGUUAAAUUGGACAAUUGAGGAGACAUAUCCAGCAAAAUUUACAAGAAAAACACAGAAAGAUAAUAGCUUUAGGUAAGUCUAAUUUCUAAAGACUACUAGGUUCCUUUCCAUGUGCAUCUUUUAUAGAAUGAAAAUAAUGUGUCUAAAAAUAAACAUUUUGCAAUGUCCCAUGAAGGAAAAAUCAAGCUUUCUUCCUGAGAUGGACACUCCUUGUCCCUGUAUCCCAUGGGACUCCUCAGAGGUUAGCUCUAAUGCCAUUGUAGGUCUAAGAUACAAAAUCUAACCUAAAGUUUAAAAAAAAAAUUACAAUCCUCAAAUAUCACCAUUUCUCCACAACGCAUAUAUUUUACUAAUGGAAAACUUCACCUUUUCACUUCAGGCUAUCUUUUUGCAGUAUCUCAGAUUACUCAUUUGCUUAUACACAUUUUGUCCUAACAAAGAAAGAAUAAGAAAUGCAUAAUACACAUAACAUGUGCAUUAUGAUAUGUAUGAUAUGUAAAUGUGAUUCUUCUGAAACAAACGAAAUUAGUUGGUCCAGCUUUAGUUGAUACUCAGACUCUGUUUAUAUAACUGCUUUUUGAAGUGAUGGACCUCCACUAACCAGUAAUUAAAGAAGCUGUGGACAAAAACAUCCUUGCUCUCCUGAUACAUGGAAAAGUGAAAAGAAUGAAGCACAUUUCUGCAUGAUAUUAAUGUCUAAAAGAAGAGAGACCAUCCUCUAUAUUUACUGGGUUUUCCUAGAUGACUGUUAAGAAUACUGUUAAGAUGGGCUAACAUGUCAUCUGACAUUUCACAGAAAAUAUUAACCUGCAUAUUUGAUCCAUAGCUACUUUCUGGUUUACAGCAUCUGCAACAAUCACCUCUUCAUUAUCUCUGAAAACCACAGGAACCAGACAAAACUGCCCUGUGUGUUUCAUAUUUAUCUCCUGCAUUGGCUCAUCAGACUUAGCUGCACAGUUAGGUCUUGCUUAUUUUCUGAAUUCUGAUUUUUUUCUUUACACGGUGUUUUUUGAGUCAAGGUUUUGAUAUGUAGCCCUGAAACCACUUAUGUAACCCAGGCUUGUCCUGAACUGGUGACCUCCCUGGCUCAGCUCCUCAAGUGCCGGGAUUAAAGGCAUGUGACACUAUGUUCAUAUCUGCAUACUCUAUUGAUGUACCCUUUUAUGGCUUUGUAUUUCCAAACCGUCUAUGUAUCAAUGGAAAAUGGAAUUCCGAGCCUGAGUAAAGACAGUCCUGGAUGAGAAACCAACUAUGAAUAAUCUAUAAAAUAGAUCACUCCUAGGUCAGAAAGCAAGAGUUAAAUAACUAUUUCUGGAUCAAAUCUCAAAGUCAUCUAGAUGCUGGUGACCUUCAUACAAAUUUACAUUUCAAGACACCAGUAACAGCAAAUAGAUACAAACUAAAGCUUAGGUCAGCCCCGCUGUGGCUCAUGAAUUGGAGAGUAUGAUUUCCAGGAUGAUAAGGUUUCAUAAGGAACACAGAAUUGGCCUGAUAAAUCCCCUCUGAUCCUGAAAUCUGAAUGGGAAAUGCCUGGCUCUCUCUGAGAACCUCAGCUGAUAAACAUGUGCUAUGCUCUUCAAAGGUACCAAGUCAUGCCUGGGGUUUAAUCUUUCUCCCUCUCCUCCAAAAUGAUCAGAUUUUCUGAACCUCAAAUUGGACCAGAUGGCCUGAUACAUAUUAGCAUACUUUUAUGAAGAAGAUACUGUGAGAAAUCAGGACUGCUAUGGAAACAGACAACGAAGCCAGAAAUAAAAUUUCUAUCACAGUCCUAAUCUUAAUUUACUUUUUAGAAGUACAUAUUCCCAUUUACUGAAAAAAAAAUAGCUUUGGUUUCUUCAAUCUUGAACAAAAAAUAUUUCAUCAGCCUUCAUUCAAAUAGGAAUUCAGAUCCCAGUAUUAAAAAGCAAGAUUUUGGUCUAAUCUAGGGAAGCUACAUUGAUCUGGAAAAUUAUAUACUUAAAAUCAAGUUUCUUGUCAGCAGGAAAACCAAGCGGUACCUUUUGUCCAUAUCAAAUGUCCCUUGCAGAAUUCAGAUUGACUUUUGGGUCAAGAAGAUUUCCUGGAACAGGCCCUUUUGUCACUGAAUGACAGCCCAUAACCAUUCUAAACUGUAUCAAUAAAAAAAAAAAGACACAAGAUAUCCAUUACACUCUGCAUGGCGCACAUGAGCAUGUCACCACAGGAACACUUUUUAAAAUGUAAACAAAAUCUACAUAUAUUUCCACUUGACUUGGUAAUGACAUUAAUAUGACAGACACACCAGUGCCCUGAAAAUUAGCAAUGGACAACACCAUUUCUGAUUCUGUUGAAAAGCAGAGUUCUGCUGUUAUUAUUUAAAUCAGACGAAAAUUACUUCCCAUGAUUAAUAAUCACUUUUUAUGAACUAGGACAAUACAUAUGUUAGCCCUGUAUAUUUUCCUUGGUUAUAUCUAUUCAUAGUUUGGGUUUUAUUUAAACAUAUGCAUGUUUAAUGAAACGGGCUUUUUGUUUUGUUUUUCAAAGCUUCAAUGGUUCUAUGUGAAAUAAACUCAACAAGAAAUGCAAAAAUGCUUGUAAAGUACUACACAUGUCUAAGCAUAAAAUGAGUUCCCAGCACAGGUCAGAACACUAUGACAACACUGCUCUUCAAUAAAGAAAAACAAUAAAAAUAUUUACUUACCAACCUUCACUUGUAUGUAUUCAACUGGAGACAGAGGAGGUAUUUUUCACUAAUUGAAUACCUUCCCUUUAUAAGUUUGUAGAAUAAAGAGCUUUAAAAUACACCCUAUUCACUCAGUUUGGUUUAUAUUUUAAAAUUAUCAAAUUCUUGAUUUUUCAAUUAAUUUAACAAUGAUUACAAAUAUUAUGAUGUUGUUGCUUAAAAAAAACCACAACCUCUGCAGAUGGUGUUAUCAUCUCAAUGGGGUAUUUAGUUAAAUCAAAAUAGUCUUAUCAACUUCAUAGUAGAAUUUGGGUACUGAAGGGAUAAAAUAAAAAUGUACCCCAACAUUCCAAUUUGUAUUUUUAAAAAGAAGUAAAGAAAUAAUAAAGCUUAAGAAUCAAAUGACACAGUCUAUGCACAGCUCUUGUGAUUUCCCUGGACCAACCAUCACUCCUCUGGCACCAUCUCCCUUUUAGAGAAAUGAAAAGAAUAUCUGCUCUUCCUUUCUUUCUCAUAACCAUUAGGUAUCACUGCUUCCUUUUUAAGAAUUUGCAAGAAGUAACAGUGCAUCGACCUGUGAAAGGAUCCUGAUUAAGAUGACAUUCAGAUGGUGUGAUCUGGUUGUCAUCUGGAAAGGGCUUCUGAUCCUAAGCAUAAUGAUCUUGAAUGGGAUUGCUUCUAUUUUUCUUUCCCUGUAUGGUAAACCUGUACAUAUUUCAAACCUGUAUGGUGGCAUCUAAGAAAAUACAGUUUCCUAAAUCAGUUUACACAGCAGCAUUAUUCGUUGGUAGAAAAUCUUCACAAAGGUCCUAAAGCACUUUGCAUAGCUUGAACCUGGGAAUUGUCAGUUCACAGGUGAACUGAACAGCCGACUUCCACAUGAAGAAGUGCCACUCGCACAAAUGCCCACCCUCAAGGCAAAGGGGCCUAAAGCUUUCCUCUCAAGGUAGAAUUAAUCCACGCACCCUAAGAUAAAUUCAUCUUGCAUGGAGGAAAACACUUUGAAUGACGAUCUAAUAUUUGGCUUGAAAGCACAUGACUGACAGUUCCAUCAGUUUCCGUAAAAAAAAAAAAAAAAGAAAGAAAGAAAAAAGAAAAGAAAAGAAAAAACCUCUGUGAGAUAAAGGAAGCCCCAGGAUUCUUAAUUAUCUGUAGCUUAUGAAGUCUCAUAAUUUUCAAAUUAAUCCAUAUCAUCAAAUAAACUUAAUAUAACUUUUCUGAUUUAGAAAGGAAAUGCCAAAGAAACAAAGAAAUUCCGAACAUUUCCCGCCUUAUCACAGACAAAGCAUUACUGUUACUUCUACAAAAUACUCAAUGAAUGCCCCAUGCUAGAGAACUGUUGAAUAAUUUAGAAAUCAUAUCAAUUACUUGCAUUAAACUCAACAUUUCAGAGCUUUCAAGCUUUCCUUUGCUUUCCUAAAUCCUGGGACUUAAUAUGCUUUUCUACUCAUUACAAAAAAGAAAAAAAUAAGGUAUAGACAUGUUUAAGUGACUUUUGCCAAGGGAUUAUGACCAUGCCUGUCAAAGGCUCAUUACAUUUUGCUCCAGUGCAAUGUAUUAGAACAUCAUUGUGUUAGAACUUCUGUACAAUGUAUUAGAAUGCCGUCUCUGGAAUCCUGAUCACAAGGUGCCACCGUGUCAUUCAAUCAUCUCCACCGCUUGCUGCCUUUCCUUCUCCAGACAGAGUUCUAGCAAAAUGUUUCCCCAUGAGUGUAGAGAAAAGACAGGAAGAGAGGCAUUGACUAGAACUCUUUUCACUUCAAACACCAUUAAAGGAGAGGGAGAAUGUAUCCAGGGAUUUUGGGGGCCAAAAGUAUUUGAGAAAACCAAUUAUAAGGGUGGUGUGGGGGUGUUUCUUUUGUUGUUUAUUUUUGGUUUAUUGGGGUUUGUUCACAUUUGUCAAGUUUGUUACAGGCUGAAAUGGCAGACACAGUGUUAUCCCACAAUGCUCAGGACAACCAUUUUUUAAGAAGAUUUUAUUUUGUUUGGUUUUGUUUGGAGUUUUAUAUAUAUAUAAAUGUUUUCAUAUAUAUAUAUAUGAGAGUAAGGCCUCGUCUGUGUUUUACUGAGUGAUCUGAGCUGUAUUUCAUGGUGACACAGUGGUGCAAGGCUCAUCACUUCGUGCUCCCUCAAAUUCAAGAAUACCUGUUGUCAGUUAAAUGGAAGUGCAGUCCUCGGAAACCCCCUGUGGCAAACAUGAUACUGAUUACAAUGUCGAUAAGGAAACCAAAUGUUCUAAAACCACUCCUCUCUAGCUCAGUUUU